rfam:Populus trichocarpa scaffold_14_contig_154, whole genome shotgun sequence.
ACUCUAGUCCGACUUUGUGAAAUGACUUGAGAGGCGUAGGAUAAGUGGGAGCUUCGGCGAAGGUGAAAUACCACUACUUUUAACGUUAUUUUACUUAUUCCGUGAAUCGGAGGCGGGGCGCUGCCCUUCUUUUUGGACCCAAGGCCGCUUCGGCGGCCGAUCCGGGCGGAAGACAUUGUCAGGUGGGGAGU